rnacentral:rRNA from 1 species
UACGUAGGGUGCAAGCGUUGUCCGGAAUUAUUGGGCGUAAAGAGCUCGUAGGCGGUUUGUUGCGUCGGCUGUGAAAUCCCGAGGCUCAACCUCGGGUCUGCAGUCGAUACGAGCAAACUAGAGUGUUGCAGGGGAGACUGGAAUUCCUGGUGUAGCGGUGAAAUGCGCAGAUAUCAGGAGGAACACCGGUGGCGAAGGCGGGUCUCUGGGCCAACACUGACACUGAGGAGCGAAAGCCAGGGGAGCAAACGGG